rnacentral:rRNA from 1 species
AUGAAUAGGCACAUUGUGGCCUUUUCAUCCAUUGACGACCGCGACCCUGCCACGGGCUGCCUCCGGGGGGUCAACGACCUCAUCCUCGCCCACAACCACAUGCUGGAAACCAAGCUUGAGGAGCUCCGCCGUGACCACCCCGGCAUGUCCAUCACCUACGUCAACUCCUACGACAACGUCCUCGGCCAUAUCACAGCGCCCACCCAAAACGGCAAGCGCUAG